rnacentral:rRNA from 1 species
CAGGCUUAACACAUGCAAGUCGAGGGGCAGCAUGGUCUUAGCUUGCUAAGGCCGAUGGCGACCGGCGCACGGGUGAGUAACACGUAUCCAACCUGCCGUCUACUCUUGGACAGCCUUCUGAAAGGAAGAUUAAUACAAGAUGGCAUCAUGAGUCCGCAUGUUCACAUGAUUAAAGGUAUUCCGGUAGACGAUGGGGAUGCGUUCCAUUAGAUAGUAGGCGGGGUAACGGCCCACCUAGUCUUCGAUGGAUAGGGGUUCUGAGAGGAAGGUCCCCCACAUUGGAACUGAGACACGGUCCAAACUCCUACGGGAGGCAGCAGUGAGGAAUAUUGGUCAAUGGGCGAGAGCCUGAACCAGCCAAGUAGCGUGAAGGAUGACUGCCCUAUGGGUUGUAAACUUCUUUUAUAAAGGAAUAAAGUCGGGUAUGCAUACCCGUUUGCAUGUACUUUAUGAAUAAGGAUCGGCUAACUCCGUGCCAGCAGCCGCGGUAAUACGGAGGAUCCGAGCGUUAUCCGGAUUUAUUGGGUUUAAAGGGAGCGUAGAUGGAUGUUUAAGUCAGUUGUGAAAGUUUGCGGCUCAACCGUAAAAUUGCAGUUGAUACUGGAUAUCUUGAGUGCAGUUGAGGCAGGCGGAAUUCGUGGUGUAGCGGUGAAAUGCUUAGAUAUCACGAAGAACUCCGAUUGCGAAGGCAGCCUGCUAAGCUGCAACUGACAUUGAGGCUCGAAAGUGUGGGUAUCAAACAGGAUUAGAUACCCUGGUAGUCCACACGGUAAACGAUGAAUACUCGCUGUUUGCGAUAUACGGCAAGCGGCCAAGCGAAAGCGUUAAGUAUUCCACCUGGGGAGUACGCCGGCAACGGUGAAACUCAAAGGAAUUGACGGGGGCCCGCACAAGCGGAGGAACAUGUGGUUUAAUUCGAUGAUACGCGAGGAACCUUACCCGGGCUUAAAUUGCAGAUGAAUUACGGUGAAAGCCGUAAGCCGCAAGGCAUCUGUGAAGGUGCUGCAUGGUUGUCGUCAGCUCGUGCCGUGAGGUGUCGGCUUAAGUGCCAUAACGAGCGCAACCCUUGUUGUCAGUUACUAACAGGUUCCGCUGAGGACUCUGACAAGACUGCCAUCGUAAGAUGUGAGGAAGGUGGGGAUGACGUCAAAUCAGCACGGCCCUUACGUCCGGGGCUACACACGUGUUACAAUGGGGGGUACAGAGGGCCGCUACCACGCGAGUGGAUGCCAAUCCCCAAAACCUCUCUCAGUUCGGACUGGAGUCUGCAACCCGACUCCACGAAGCUGGAUUCGCUAGUAAUCGCGCAUCAGCCACGGCGCGGUGAAUACGUUCCCGGGCCUUGUACACACCGCCCGUCAAGCCAUGGGAGCCGGGGGUACCUGAAGUGCGUAACCGCGAGGAGCGCCCUAGGGUAAAACUGGUGACUGGGGCUAAGUC